rnacentral:rRNA from 1 species
UCCUAGUACGAGAGGACCGGAGUGGACGCAUCACUGGUGUUCGGGUUGUCAUGCCAAUGGCACUGCCCGGUAGCUAAAUGCGGAAGAGAUAAGUGCUGAAAGCAUCUAAGCACGAAACUUGCCCCGAGAUGAGUUCUCCCUGAGACUUAGAGUCUCCUGAAGGAACGUUGAAGACGACGACGUUGAUAGGCCGGGUGUGUAAGCGCAGCGAUGCGUUGAGCUAACCGGUACUAAUGAACCGUGAGGCUUAACCUUACA